rnacentral:tRNA from 1 species
GCCCUCAUAGCUCAGGGGAUAGAGCACAGGUUUCCUAAACCUGGUGGCGUAGGUUCGAAUCCUACUGGGGGCACCA